rnacentral:rRNA from 1 species
ACGAACGCUGGCGGCGUGCUUCACACAUGCAAGUCGAACGGAAAGGCCCUGCUUUUGUGGGGUGCUCGAGUGGCGAACGGGUGAGUAACACGUGAGUAACCUGCCCUUGACUUUGGGAUAACUUCAGGAAACUGGGGCUAAUACCGGAUAGGAGCUCCUGCUGCAUGGUGGGGGUUGGAAAGUUUCGGCGGUUGGGGAUGGACUCGCGGCUUAUCAGCUUGUUGGUGGGGUAGUGGCUUACCAAGGCUUUGACGGGUAGCCGGCCUGAGAGGGUGACCGGCCACAUUGGGACUGAGACACGGCCCAGACUCCUACGGGAGGCAGCAGUGGGGAAUAUUGCACAAUGGGCGGAAGCCUGAUGCAGCAACGCCGCGUGCGGGAUGACGGCCUUCGGGUUGUAAACCGCUUUCGCCUGUGACGAAGCGUGAGUGACGGUAAUGGGUAAAGAAGCACCGGCUAACUACGUG